UACGUAGGGGGCAAGCGUUGUCCGGAAUCAUUGGGCGUAAAGAGCGUGUAGGCGGCCCGGUAAGUCCGCUGUGAAAGUCCAGGGCUCAACCCUGGGAUGCCGGUGGAUACUGUCGGGCUCGAGUCCGGAAGAGGAGUGUGGAAUUCCUGGUGUAGCGGUGAAAUGCGCAGAUAUCGGGAGGAACACCAAUGGCGAAGGCAGCACUCUGGGACGUGACUGACGCUGAGACGCGAAAGCGUGGGGAGCGAACAGG
rnacentral:rRNA from 1 species